rnacentral:rRNA from 1 species
GAACGGCAGCACAGUAAGAGCUUGCUCUUAUGGGUGGCGAGUGGCGGACGGGUGAGGAAUACAUCGGAAUCUACUCUUUCGUGGGGGAUAACGUAGGGAAACUUACGCUAAUACCGCAUACGACCUACGGGUGAAAGCGGAGGACCUUCGGGCUUCGCGCGGUUGAAUGAGCCGAUGUCGGAUUAGCUAGUUGGCGGGGUAAAGGCCCACCAAGGCGACGAUCCGUAGCUGGUCUGAGAGGAUGAUCAGCCACACUGGAACUGAGACACGGUCCAGACUCCUACGGGAGGCAGCAGUGGGGAAUAUUGGACAAUGGGCGCAAGCCUGAUCCAGCCAUGCCGCGUGGGUGAAGAAGGCCUUCGGGUUGUAAAGCCCUUUUGUUGGGAAAGAAAAGCAGUCGGUUAAUACCCGAUUGUUCUGACGGUACCCAAAGAAUAAGCACCGGCUAACUUCGUGCCAGCAGCCGCGGUAAUACGAAGGGUGCAAGCGUUACUCGGAAUUACUGGGCGUAAAGCGUGCGUAGGUGGUGGUUUAAGUCUGUUGUGAAAGCCCUGGGCUCAACCUGGGAAUUGCAGUGGAUACUGGAUCACUAGAGUGUGGUAGAGGGUAGCGGAAUUCCCGGUGUAGCAGUGAAAAUGCGUAGAGAUCGGGAGGAACAUCCCCUGGCGAAUGCGGCUACCUGGACCAACAC